rnacentral:lncRNA from 1 species
UCUAGGGACCGAUCUUUUGUUCCUACUUUUCGUUUUUUGGUUGUGCGCCGCCGCCUUACCAUAAUUUGCUUGCUAUUCAUAUGGGUUGUUCCAUGGAAUAAAGAAAAGAAAGAAUAGGUGAUUGCAGAAAAGAAAGAACGUUGCAGAUGGGUUGUUCCAUGGAGAAGUUGUCUUGGGUGAUGGAGCUCUUGAUUUGAUUGUUUAUUUGCAGGGCUUUGUGGUGAUUCUAAGGGUCUUAGAUAGUGGGUGGAGUUGGAUCUUUCGAGUUUUAGAGUUUAGGAUGUGUUUUGAAGUCACG